GCUGAAGAAACUGAGGCUCUGAAAGUUGAACUGAGGCCUAAUGGUGGGCCUCAGACCGUGCUUCUACUGGUCAAAUGGGUUAAUAAUCCAGCCCAGCCUGUCCAAUUUUAAAACCUCUGUUCUCCUCCCUAGCCUAAAGAUGGCACUUCUGAGGUGUAACCUCAGCCAUGAUAUCAAGAAAUGAUGAAAUAAAGAUCUCAGUCUAGAGGAAUACUCAGAAGACUUUCCCACAGUGUUACCCUCUCCCCAAAAGCCCCCACAAAAGCAAAAUCACACACUUCAACACCCCAAGUAAAAAAAAUUCUGAGAUUAAGGAAAGUGACCACAUGUAGGCUGCCAGUGAUGUUAUAACUUUGCCUCCUAUAGAAUUUUCUCCACUUUCUCCCACCCAUGUCUCCCCUCUUCCCCCUCCUCCUCACCACUCCUUCCCCAACAAUACAGUUUCCUGUCAAAACAAACUUGGUUACACGCAGUGCAACCAAAAUUGCUGCUAUUAGCUUAAUUGAGACAGGGUGAUUAUAAAUAAAUUACAUGCAGUGCUACUGAAAUUGCUGCUAUUAGUCUAAAUUGAGACAGGGUGAUUAGUCAUCAACUGUAGCUCAAUUCAGAGUGUAUUCCACAUGGCUGCAGAGGCCCUGUGGUCACCGGGCAGCCCACAGGGUACAAGGCCAAAUCCCCAAGCGAUGGACUUCAGGGCUGCAGUAACUCUGUUUCGCUGGUAACAGAGAGCACAAAAGUCCAUACAGCCUGGUCGGUGGUGGCUCCUUGUAAGUGGAUAAUGAACUUCUUAGGAACUUUAAGCUGGUAAGGACUUAAAAUGAUUAGAAACCUUCCCAUCUGGAAAAUCUGUGUGGCAUAUAUGUGUAUUGAUAUAUCUCAAUGUGUAAAUAAAUCUUCUGUCACUUAUCCAUAAUGAUUUGAGAUGGACUUUUAAUAUUAUUUUACCUUGUUUGUAAUUAUAAAAGAAAUCCAGAGUCGCUAGAGAACUUCAGGAGCAUAAAUAGUAUAGAAGAAUAAAACAGUUCCCUUUCUCAUUUUCAUUGCAUUUGUUAGACCCUGGUGUCCCUCCAUCAUUUCAUUUAUACAUUCCCUCUGACAUAAUUGAAACCUAUAUACAAUUUUGUAUUAAGCUUUUUUCACUGAUGGAAACAUCUUUAAUGAUUAAUUAGCACCUUGGUUUGGAAAAAUGGGUGAGGCAGAGAAAUUGCAAACUGACAUAGUAGAUGUCACUGCUUAUUGGGAAAUGCUUGGAAGGAACACAAUUCUACAGUGAUGGCAUGAUCUCUUGUCUUUCGAAAAUUCAGAUUAUAAUAAAUUUUUUGUAAAGUGCCUUUUUUCCAGCUUUAUUGAGAUAUAUUGGCAUAUAGCAUUGUGUAGGUUUAAGGCAUACAGCAUGAUCAUUUGAUGCACAUUUUAUUAAAGAAUAAUUCUACAAUAAGGUUGACACAUCCAUCAUCUCACAUCAAAAUCCUGUGUGUGUGUGUGUGUGUGUAACAUUUAAGACCUACUCUCGUAGCAACUUUCAAGUAUAUAAUACACUACUGUUAACUAUGGUCACUGUGCUGUACAUUACAUUCCCAGAACUUACUCAUCUUAUAACUAGAAGUCUGUAUCUUUUGGCCAAUACCUCCCCAUUUCUCCCCCUGACCCCAGUCGCUGGUAACCACCACACCAUUCUACUUUGUUUCUAUGAGUCUGGCUUUUUUAGAUCCCACAUGUAAGUGAGAUCAUACAGUGUUUGCCUUUCUCUACCUGAUUUAUUUUACUUAGCCUGAUGCCCUCACAGUUAAUCCAUGUUAUUAGAAAUAGGUUUUCCUUCUUUUUAUGGCUGAAUAAUAUUUACUUUAUUCACUUAUCCAUUGAUGGACACUUGAAUUUUUUCCAUAUCUUGGCUAUUGUGCAUAAUUCUGCAGUGAACAUGGUAGUACAAAAUAUCUCUUUGAGAUCUUGUUUUCAUUUCCUGUGAAGAUAGAUCCAGAAGUGGGAUUGCUGGGUCAUAUGGUAAUUCUAUUUUAUUUUUUUGAGGAAACUCCAUGCUGUUUUCCAUAGUGGCUGUACCAAUUUACAUUCCUACCAUCACUGCAUAACACUUGUUCUCUAUUGUUUUUUGAUGAUGGCCAUUCUAGUAGAUGUGAAGUGAUACCUCAUU